UUCACUCCCCGCCCCCAUCCCUCAGCAUCUGAGCUCUACCUGAGGGUGUCAAGUCACCUCUGUGAGCCUUGGUUUCCCCAUCUGUGAGCAGGUGGAUCUGAGUUCCAAGGUUCCUUCUAGCCAUCUGUGUGAGACACCCCCACACGGUGUCCAGUAACAGCAGGUGCAUAAUAAAUGUGUUUGUGGACCUACCCUCCCCAGUGCUGGGCACAAGGGCACACAGAGGAGAAAUAUGAGUAAAUGUCGCCUUUGUCCAGGAAAUGGGGACCCAGACCGCUGGACACACACCGGACAACAGCUGGCCCUCACAUUUGUGCUGGAUGGUACCGUCUACAAAGGGAUUUUGCUGCGUGUGCUGCUCCCUGUGAUUCUCAUGGAGGAAACUCCACAUCUCAGGCUGAGCACAGUCCUUUGCUGAGAUUUGAUGGGGGGGAAACACGAUCACUGAUGCAACCCCCACCAUGAGCUGCUGCAAAGCCCUGGCAGGAAGAUGAGAUUGGCCUCAGAGCAACGUGGGGCUGCCCGGCCGCGGCCACUCCCUGAGCCUGGUGGGUAUACCUUAAUUUUAUUGAUGCAUCUUGUUUUGAGAGCCUCUCCUGCCCUCUGGGCUGCCCCCACCCUCACCCCCCACCCCCACUCCCACCCCCCUGUUUGGCUAAUGAUAAGUGACAAGCAGUGGACAUUAUAAAUUAAACUGCCCCGAUAGCCGGUGGUAAAACAGAAGGCCUCACGCAGAGGAGGCAUUCAAAGCAUUUGUGCCGUGUGCCCCCCACCCCCCACCUCCCCACUCUCCCCACUCUCCCCACCCCUGCUCAGGGCACAGGCCCCAGGCCCCAGCUGCCGAAGCCUCUCACAACAGACCUUCCGGUCUCUCUGGGCUCCGCUCUGUCAAAUGGAAAUCAGCAACACAGGCCACAGAGUAAUUAAACCGCUGGCAUUCUUUUGACAAAAAAUAUUUCUCUUGGGAUAUUCCCACAGGCCACUGAAGGACUGUCUGGGGCCUGCAAGCUCCCAGCUGAAUAUCAAGGGAGUUUUGAAAUUGGCCUUGACUCGGGAUCAAAAGGGGAUGGGAGUUCGGGGUGUGAAUAUGGGGGUGGGAAAUGCAUUAUAAUUAAAUUUAUCAUUUGGUCUUUCAGCUUGAAGCACCAACACCUGCUUCCCCAGGACAAAUAUGGACAGAGAAUAAAGAGAGACCUUCGAGGCCUGUUUAUUUAUAU
rnacentral:lncRNA from 1 species